rnacentral:lncRNA from 1 species
AGCCUGUCACCCAGCAGCAUUCCCAGCAUGGGCUGGAAGGGAUGGCUCAGGUGCUGACCCAGCACGAGGAGCCCAAGGACCUCCUGCGCCUGGUGUGUUUGCAAUGGAGCCCAAGGCAACCUGGACAUGGGGAAUUCCUUCACAGCUCCUGCUUUUCCCACACAGGGGAACAGACUUUCUCAUAGGAGCCAGGCUGUGGAACCAGCACUGAAGGCACAGGAGGAAGGAAAUGCUGGAGAUGCCCCAUCACAGGUUCUGCACAGACCCAACGCUUCUCUCACGCUGAAUCCCAAACCAUCCCAUGAGGGAAGAGGUCCUCCCUGGGGACAGGGGUGACUCCUGUGACCCUGCCAAGAGCGGCAGCACUCUGACCAGAGGAUGUUCGUGAGCUCCCGCACAAUCUCCUGGUGACAGCGAAGGUGAGAAGGUUUUGGCAGCCAUGGAAUGUUCCUGUUACGACCUUGGUUUAGACAAAGUGAAAGUGCUCCGGGGCUGUGAGCUGGGAAUGGCAGCAGGACCUGGGACUGAGAGGUUGCACCUGGACC